rnacentral:rRNA from 1 species
CAGGUCACUCCUACGGGAGGCAGCAGUGGGGAAUUUUGGACAAUGGGGGCAACCCUGAUCCAGCCAUGCCGCGUGAGUGAAGAAGGCCUUCGGGUUGUAAAGCUCUUUCGCGAGGGAAGAAAACUUACUCAAUAACACUGGGUGAGGAUGACGGUACCUUGAUAAGAAGCACCGGCUAACUACGUGCCAGCAGCCGCGGUAAUACGUAGGGUGCGAGCGUUAAUCGGAAUUACUGGGCGUAAAGCGUGCGCAGGCGGUUUGACAAGUCAGAUGUGAAAGCCCCGGGCUCAACCUGGGAACUGCGUUUGAAACUGUCAGGCUAGAGUGUGUCAGAGGGAGGUAGAAUUCCACGUGUAGCAGUGAAAUGCGUAGAGAUGUGGAGGAAUACCGAUGGCGAAGGCAGCCUCCUGGGAUAACACUGACGCUCAUGCACGAAAGCGUGGGGAGCAAACAGGAUUAGAUACCCUGGUAGUCCACGCCCUAAACGAUGUCUACUAGUUGUUGGAGGAGUGAAAUCCUUUAGUAACGCAGCUAACGCGUGAAGUAGACCGCCUGGGGAGUACGGUCGCAAGAUUAAAACUUAAAGGAAUUGAC